UGGGGAAUAUUGCACAAUGGGCGAAAGCCUGAUGCAGCAACGCCGCGUGAGGGACGACGGCCUUCGGGUUGUAAACCUCUUUUAGCAAGGAAGAAGCGAAAGUGACGGUACUUGCAGAAAAAGCGCCGGCUAACUACGUGCCAGCAGCCGCGGUAAUACGUAGGGCGCAAGCGUUAUCCGGAAUUAUUGGGCGUAAAGAGCUCGUAGGCGGUUUGUCGCGUCUGCUGUGAAAACCCGAGGCUCAACCUCGGGCCUGCAGUGGGUACGGGCAGACUAGAGUGCGGUAGGGGAGAUUGGAACUCCUGGUGUAGCGGUGGAAUGCGCAGAUAUCAGGAAGAACACCGAUGGCGAAGGCAGAUCUCUGGGCCGUAACUGACGCUGAGGAGCGAAAGGGUGGGGAGCAAACAGGCUUAGAUACCCUGGUAGUCCACCCGUAAACGUUGGGAACUAGUUGUGGGGUCCAUUCCACGGAUUCCGUGACGCAGCUAACGCAUUAAGUUCCCCGCCUGGGGAGUACGGCCGCAAGGCUAAACUUAAAGGAAUUGACGGGGUCAUAGCUGUUUCCU
rnacentral:rRNA from 1 species